GACUCUGAAGUGUGGGUUCUCUGGUGAAAUGACUUACUAUCCGGUAGGCAUCAAGCCUGCAGCACCCCAGGACUCAGACUUCUCAAUGUCUGAAGGAUGAUCACAAAAAAGGGAUAAAAUAGUCAUUCGUGGGCCAAGAUGUAGAACACAAGUCAGAGGGUGGAAAAUAUACCAUGGUAAAAUUUGGCACCAUGAAAAUGAGGCACUUUACUACUGGAAGGUUUGCUGGUCAGGCAUUCGGGGAAGGUUACUAUGUUGGGGGGGAAAGAAUGGGAUGGAAGGAUGCAAAGACAUUGCAAGGGGGGACUGUGUGUCUGUGAAGAUGAGGAAGGGGAAAUUGGAGAGGAGGCUGACUUAAUUAGUUAAGAUGAGGUACUGGAGUAAAGUGUCCCUGUAAGAGGAGGGGAAGGCAUAGAGAAACAGGGAGACGCCAUGUGAGGACAGAGGCCGGGACAGAGGCACCGCAGCUGCAGGCCAGGGAAGGCAGGGCCUGUCGGCCACAGUGGUGGCCAGAGAGGGAGGCAGGAUUCUCUUCCACAGGGAUCAAAGGGGGCAGGGCCCUGCCAACAGCUUGGUGUUGCACUUCUUGAUUACCUGGGCUCUGGCAGCCUCUCUGGGUGAGUUUCUCAAUUAGAAUGAAAAAUCUCUAACAAUUCUUCACCCAGAUCCUCAUUUGUCUUUUUAGAACUGAAGCAAAAAUUGAACUCUCUGAGUUGGCUUGACGGAUGGAUGAGUGGAUUCUAGCCAUGAUAAAACAAUCAAAUGCUGAAAAAUUAUGGAGAAAAUUAUGAAUAUCUAAUUCAUUUGUCUGUUGGCUCAGGAUGGGUUGGCUCAGAGCUGCCAUCAGAGGGAUAAUCUGAACUUCCUCCCCAAGUACUCCCAGUUAUUUCUGGCAUCUUCCCAGACCCCCUAAACCAGGUCACUUGGGGUCAUUGGGAUCGUUCUCUCUAUCCAAGACUGGUGCUUGUGAAUAAACUAGCAGGUAUCUUGUUGCUGUCUCAGUCUGCUUCAAGAAGGCCACCGUCCCAGGCAUGAUGUUACCUUCAAGGGUUCCCCAAAUUUCCAAACCUCAGGGGGCCAGAGGGGUGCUAGGCUUGCUGCAGACACAGAAUGAGUGAGCUUUUCCCAGUGAUUCUAGAUCUGAAGCAGAUCUGCUCUCCAGAGGCCUCCCCUGUCUCUUCUUCCACUUGGGGAGAGAAGCCUGGGACCAGCUGGGGAAGACACACCAUAAGCCCCCUCUGUUGUCCGCUGGACUCUCCUUUACUGACGACCCCUUCUACUCUCCUGAGUACAAAAUAAUAACUCCCUUGUGCACCUCUGGGUGCAGACAGGUACUGAUGUUUGUGUUUGGGGGAGGGUGUGGCAGUCUAGACCUUAGCUCUGCCAGCUAAAACUCCCUGUUACAUACGCAUAAUUCAAACCAAGCUCAUUAAGCAACCACCAAAGAUAGCCUAACUUGGUAAUGCCUUCCUCGAGAGCAAUUUGGCAAUGUUGAUCAAGAGCCUUAAAAAUGUUCACAGCCUUUUACUCAGCGUUUUAACUCUUAGGAAUUUAUUCUCAGGAAAUAUUCAGGUAGGUUCAUCAAGAUCUAUGUUCAAGGAUUUUUAUUUUAAAAUUUAUCUCACUAAUACACAUGUAAAAUUAGAAAUUCACAACUUUAAUGUCCAUAAUAGAGGAAUAAAUAAAUCUGGUGUUUACAUAUAUGUAAUAAAAUAUUUUAAAGCCAUUAAAAUCACAUUGAAGAGUAGUUAAUAAUCCAGGAAGAUGAUAAUGUUGUAAUGUUAGGUUUAAACUAUUAGAUAUAAAAUUGUAGAUACAGUGUAGUGCCAUCAUGUAUCAUAUGCUAUGUAUAAUACAUGUUUUAUAUGUAUUUAAAAUACUUGUAUUUAUAAUACAUAUAAAACAUGUAUUAUACAUAGCAUAUAUUUAUGUAUAUGCAUGUGUAUAUACAUAUGUGUGCAUGCGUGUAUGCGUACAUAUACCAGAAAGAAUGCCCUGAGAUAUGAAGAGUGGCUAUAUCUGGGGAAUGGAACAAUUAGAGUUAAUUUACUUUUUCUUUUUCAGAAUAUUCUUUCUGUUUUCCCUUAAGUCUCUAUAAUGACCAUGUAUGACCUAAAACAAUGCUUUACAAUGAUUCAUGCAACAGAAGUUACCAGAAUCUCAAGUACACAAUUCUGCAACUGAGAAAGCAGGGUAUGCUAUUCCAGGCCUCCUGUGUGGGGACCUCCCAAGCCUGCUCUCCCUCUUUGGUGCCACAGACUUUGCCAAGGUGAAAAAGAGCUGGAGACCAAGAGCAGAGAUGGGAUGGACCUGUGUGAUAUGGUUUGACUCUGUGUCCCCACCCAAGUCUCAUCUCCAAUUUUAAUCCCCACGUUUCAGGGGAGGGACGUGGUGGGAGGUGAUUGGAUCAUGGGGGUGGUUUCCCCUAUGCUGCUCUUGUGAUAGUGAAUGAGUUCUCAUGAGAUCUGAUGGUUUAAAAGUGUUUGGCAGUUACCACUCCUGACUCCUGCUGCCAUGUAAGAUGUGCAUUGCUUUCCCUUCACCUUCCACCACGAUUGUAAGUUUCCUGAGGCCUCCCUAGCCAUGUGGGACUGUGAGUCAAUUACACCUCUUUCCUUUACAAAUUACCCAGUCUUGGCUAUUUCUUUACAGCAGUGUAAAAAUGGACUAAUACACCAUGUCUGGAGCCUGGUGCCCCAGACAGCCACCAUCCCCCAUACUCUGGGGCCCUAAAGUGAGAUGCCCUGACUGCUUCCAAGGCUCUGACUUUGUCUCAGGACUGUGCCUUAUUUCCUGGACUAGUCCAGUGUCCUAGGGGGUAGUGGACAGCAGAAAGAAGACUCAGUCUGCACUGGCGCCCCAGCUCCACUACAUAAAUGACCUGGGAGGCAGGUCUCCUCACCUGUAAAAUGGGGAUAAUAAUACCACCCACAGGAUUAUAAGCGAGAUGACAUAUGAAAAGAGCUUGGUGUUGUACCAUAUAUAUAGUAAAUGCCCUGUCAUUGGUGUGUGUGCAUACCUUGUGUAUGCAUGUGUUGUGUGUGUCUCUCUGUGCGCUUUCCCAUCUGAUAAAUGUCAUCCAAAGUCAUUUUCAGCACUCACUUCUUAGAGCUUUGGAUUAAUUUAUGUGUAGUAUUCCUACUGGACCUAUGCCGGGUAGAGUACAUGGGAGUUUCUUGGUUCUGAGGAAGAGGAGGGAGUCAACAGCUCCAUGUGGACACAGUUGCUCUUGCUCUCCUCUCUUCACAGCAGAAGUGGGGGAUGACUGCUGGCCAGCCCUGAGGACUCUCCCUCUCCACUCUCCUCACAGUCAUGAGGCUGGACCAUAGCUGCCUUCAGCGACCCCGAUGUCCAGGUGCACCUGCUGAGUGGAAAAGUCAAUAAACAGUUGCAAAUACAAAUUGACUCAAUGAGGGAAUGAUAAACUUGAGAGGAGGCUAACAUUAGCAUCAUCCUCACCAUCACCAUCAUCACCGUCACUAUCACUAUCACUGUCACCAUCAUCAUCACCAUCACCAUCAUUAUCACCAUCACCAUCAUCAUCACAACAUAAUGAACAGCUGGGUGUUCACCUGGAAGCUCAGAGCCUGGUGUGGCCUGGGCCCUCCCUUUGCAGCUGGUUCCCUCCUUCUGGACUUUUAAGUGCCUGGAAACUGCCAGGUUUGCACUGGACUGUACCCCUUUCGGGAAACCACUGCUGUCACUGUUAGGUGACCUGGCUGGAAAGGAGGAUGUCUGGGUGACAGGGCUUGUGGGCCAUCCUGGCUAUAGGAGUACGUACCAUUGCAGAAUCAUCCCACACUGGCACCAUCAGGGCCAUGCAGGCAAGAACAACAUAGCAUGAGGCCAAAUGCAAAUUGUUUUAAAACACACAAAUGAGCUUGGUUCAGGUGGUGCCAAAGAAUUCUCUAUUUCAGCAGAGAGAUAUUUUGUGCACUUUUACUACUAUCAUCCAAUAAAAAUGCAACUGUUCAUGGAGUCAUUAAGCUGUACUUUUAGGAGAUGCUGUCAAGGAAAACGGGCCACAAAUUUAAUCUGAUUUGCUAAACUGAUUUUAGUUACUCCUGUCAAAGCCACAUCAAACCUUCAAAUCUGUGUGCUUUCUUUUGCAUCAUGAAAUUGUUACCCUGAACACUUAGAAUCAAUUUGAUUUGGGGAUACCUUUAGUCACUCAAAGUGCCUAUGUGCACUCAGGCAUGUGAUGUGGUUCCUGACCACAAGGAGCUAUGGGGAAAGAUGACGUAAGAUAGAAUGUGAAUGGGAAAACAGGUAGCAUGGGCUGGAGGUACAUGGUGGGUCAGGAAGGGAGGAGAUGGUGCUGGCUGCCAUAUGACAAGCACCUCCUCUGUCCAGGCCUGAAUUGAGUGUUUAACCGUGCAGCCACACAGAACCCACGCCGAGAAGGGUCCUACACUGAUGUAAUGCUCUGCUGCCUCUGUUUGGAAAUUCUUAGUAAUUAUGAACAUGGCACUCUGCAUUUUCAUUUUUGCACCAAAGCUGUUUCCUUUUCUUUCUGCACACACAGCCAGACCAUAUCUUCCAGCCUCCCCUGCGGUCAGGCAUGGCCAUGUGGCUGAGUCUGAUGGAUGGAGGGUGAAAGCCAUCUGCAUGCCCAGCCCAGAAGCGUCUCUGUGCAGGAGUCUUUAAAACACAUGAGCUUGGUUCAGGUGGUGCAAAGAAUUCUCGAUUUCAGCAGGGCGGUAUGUUGUGCACUUUUACUGCUGUCAUCCAACAACAAUGCAACUGUUCCUGGGGUCACUAAGUUGUCCUUCUAGGAGAUGCUGCCAAGGACAGCAGACCAGGCUCUUUCCCCCUUUGGUUAAUUGGGGUCUGACCAUCAGGGCAACUGUGGAAGCCAGGUUUUGAAGAUGGUACAGCCUGUGCUUGAGUCUCAAUAACUGCAUGGAGCAGAGCUCCCUGUGCCCACUGCUCCCUUGUCCCAGCCACUUGGAACUGCCCUGGACUCUCACACGAGCAUAACAGGCAUCUCUGUGUUGAGUGACCGCAGCUUCAGAUCUGUGGUGCCUGCAGCCUGGCCCGUGUGAAUGCCUCAUUUUCAGAGGAAGGAGCUUCCUCAGAAGUUUCCCAGCGGACUUCCUCUCUCAGCUUGUUAGCCAGAAUUAUGCCUUAUGUUUUUUCCCAAACCUGUCUCAUCAAGGAGAAGGGAAUUGCUACGAUCAGCUUGGAUGAAUGAGGACUUACUCCCUAGGGCCAGGGAGGGCCCUGGUCACCCCAAGCCCAGGGCUGUCCACACCUGAGCAAAACUGGGCUUUGAAUCACCGGGUCUGGCAGGGACUUGUCACUGAGUAGGCAGCCAAAUAGUGUCUGGGGAGGAAGAAACACUUUAAAAAAAAUUUUAAAAUUUUAAAAAAUUUAAACCAUAUUAAAUGACAAUGACCAUAUUAAUUUUUUGAGGAACAAUAAAAUAUUCCCUGUAAUUUCUUGUACAUUGGGGAGUGAAAAAAUUAUACAUGUUGCAUAGGUGGAGAGAAACUUUCCUGGAACUGUGAGGUUUAUAUAGAAUUAAGAAUGCCACGUGUAGGUCUUCAACCAUAACUACUAGUUUUCCCACCUCUUAUAUGGACGCAAUACAUUCAAAGGAGAAGAACACACAGAGUUCCCUGGGAAUUGUGAUUAAAAUGUGCUUAAAUAUCAGGCAGAGAGUGAUGUGGGAAGUGGUUGAUGUUGAUGUUGAGUUUCUUUGGAACAGUCUACAUUUUUGGACAAACGAUUUUCCCGCUUUAUAUUUGGUUUGUAUAUGUCAAAGGCUGCAAGUAACAGCAUAUCUGACUGCUUGACUCUAUGGCUUUUAAGUAAUGAGGAGUUUAUUUUUCCUCAUGUAACAGGAAGACUGGAGGUCAGUGGUUACUGGUGCUGGUUCAUAAACUCGGUGAUAUUAGCACUAACCUUCUGCAGUUUUCUUAGAAUUCUUCUCUUGUUUGCAAUAUGGCUGUUGGAGCUGCAGUGGUCACGUCUGGGGCAGAAUGAAGAUGUUUGGGGCAGGAGAGACAUUUUGAACCUCAUCUGUCUCAUUUUACCAAGAAUCCAAAGUUUUCUAGACACUGGCCCCAAAGCAGUCUCUGGCCUUGGUGUCAUGUCAGAACUGAGUGACAGCCCACCCCUAACUUCAGGGCAGGCUGGGCAGUGAGGAGUGAAAUUAUCAAGACUGGCUUAGACAGAGGAUCAGGACCCAUCGCCUGGGGCUGCUGGACCCAUGGCUUUUCUGAACCCAAAUGGGCUUCUUCCAGUAAGAUACGACAGAGGAGUGGACACUGAGUAAGCAACAAAGAGUGUAUAUCACGAGCUGCCAAGGGGCUGAGGGGAGAGGAAUGGUUUACAUAAAUAAGGCAGGUGGGAUUUUUGAACCUCUCCUGGAAGUUUAAGGAGGGAGGUUUGGGGCCUGGAAUACUUUUGAUAAAAAUAAAGCCAGAGCAAAGUGAAAACCACAGCAGAGCUCCCAUCUGAGCUGGUGCUGGUGUCCAGAGCUGAAUCCCACAGUCUCUGCUGCCAGCCUGUGUUCUACUGCUGAGCCAGGUCCUCUAACGUGAUAGGGUUGUCAUUGAGUCUCUCCAGAACAGGCUGGCGAGCGUGGUAGAUUAUCUCUCCAGUCAACUAGACCACUGAUAAGAGGGCUCGACUUCCCUGUCGGAGCUCGUAAGGCAGGCGUGGCAUUUCCCUUGCUUUCCUCUGGCCUCCCUUCAUGCUUCCUUUGCUUUCCUUGCCUGCCUGGGCCAUGGGGACAGCUCUGUUCACGUCUCCUCCUCUCCAGACAUGUGCCUCUAGCGCAGUGCAAUCCGAUAAAAAUGGAACGUGAGCCACGUAGGUCACUUCAAACUAUCUAGCAGCCACGUUUUAAAAAGGAAAAGAAAUGCAUGGAAAUAAAAAUGAUUUUAGUUAAUCCAUAUAUUAAAAUAUAAUUUUAACAUAGAUUCAAUAAGAUUCAAUAGAAACAUGAUUAAGAUAUUUUACACUUUUUUCAUAAGAAGAUUUUGAAGCCUGGUGUGUAUUUUACACUUUACGUAUUUCAAUUCAUAUUAGUCAAAUUUUGAGCAAUCAAUAGACACAUGUGGCUAGUGGCACCAUCGUGGAGGGUACUGGAGAGUACACGUGUAGAAGACAGAUACCAUGAUAUUCAUCUCUUUAUCUCCAGGACCUGACCAACAGUGGACCCUUCAUAAGUACUUAAUGAAUAAAUAUGAACACGCUGCUAGAAACGGGCCUUUUUCAAACAUAGGUAUUGGCUGGGGGUGGAGGUGGGGGCAGAACAGAAAACCCUGGAACACUGUACUUGGUAAUACAGAGCAUGGACUUACAUUCUCACACCUUGGGUAGGGCUGCAUCAGCAGCUGACCCAGAUACCUUGGAAUUCCUUAGCUUCUUUCUGUCUCUGUUUCCUCAUCUGUAAAAAGAGAUAGCGACACCUGUCUUGCAAGAUGCUGGGAAGAUUAAAUGAAUAGGCGUACACCAAGUGCUAAGUACCCGACAUGCCCAUAAGCACUGAAGAAGCAGUAGCCACAGUUACUUUAAACCAGAGAUUCUGUCAGUCAUAUGGACAACUCAUACUUUAGUAGCAGCAGGAUGGUUUGGCCAGGGCUUUCGUGCUGGUCCUGAAGUUGGCUGUGUCCCAGUGGUAGGACUCUUGUGGUAUAGAUUUUCUCAUUUUGGGAGCACUCUUGACAAGGGGUCACGAAGCAAUUUGUGGUGUUUGUCUUUUUGGCUGUAGCUGUGGAAAGUCAUGUGCCAACCCUGGGGCUUAGGGUUUAGUCAGCAAGGGCACGUGUGGAAUGAGGGGGGCCCUACUCUGGGAGCCCAUAGUACCCCCCAAGCCUGAGGGCUCAGCUUCCCGUGGGAGCCUGGGCUGACUUAGGGCAGCCAGGCCCCUUCAGAGCAGGGUGAAGACCUGGACCCCGCUGCCUGCUGUCUGUGCCCCCUCGGCCAUCCUCGUAUGCUCCGCCCCUCUACCCUGUCCUUUGGACGCCCCCUGACUUUUUCCCCUAAAUUGACUGAAUUGAAAUUUACUUGUUUGAAACAAUAGAAACCACGUGUUUCCUGAUCAUACCUAGCUUUGAAAACAGAAAGUGGGCAAAACAAGCCAGGCGCAUAGUGGCAUUGAGAAAGGCAAAGGCUAACUUCAUUAAAAAGCUUCUUUGUGGUAUCAGGCAGGAAGUGAAACAGCUUUAAAUGGCAAACAUUUCUCAAUCAUUUAAUGCACCAGUAAGCUUGGCAUUCUUUCUCCUUUGUCCCCUUAAAGAAAAAGAGAGCCCAGAUAUAACUCAGAUGAGGAGGGGGAGGGCCCGAUCCUGUGUGUUGGAGGAGUUCCCUGGAGCAUUGGUCCUCACCCCCAUGAAGCUUCACGGGAGGACCAAUGUCAGACGUGGGUGCAGAGGACAGUGCAGUUUCUCUUGUGUGGCUGAGCCUGGGCCACCCCGGAUGGAUCGCUGACUUCUUGUUGGUGCCACUCACCAGCUAGUUCUCUCAAAUCUGUUACCAUCAGAAGCCCGGUAAAUGGCAAACUUUCCUUGUUAACAUGUAGGUCCAUUUCCUGGGGAUAGUGAAACCCCAGUCCCCACAGGUAGCAUUGACCUCUGUUGCCAAAUGCCAUUAUCCUGGUGUCCACUGCAUGUUAGGCUCUUUCCACAGAAACCAAAAACACAGACAAGUGUGAUAGGCUGAAUCCUUUCUUGAAGAAAAAAAUUGCACGUACAUAUUGAAUAGCAAACCAAUCAAAAUGAAAAGGAAAACCAGAAGAUGGAUGCCACUGAUACACGCUUGCUUAGUUGCACUUUUUAAGAUUCAUUUAUAGAUGUCAAAUAGGAUAUGAACACAUGGAGGUGUGCAG
rnacentral:lncRNA from 1 species